GCAGUUUUCUAAAACAUAUUCUUUAUCAUUAUGGGUCCUAAGACCAAGGUUAAGAGUACCAGUGUCGAAAAAGUUGCAAAUCCUGUAAUUUGUCGUAUAAAACGUAGCGUUGCAGAGGUAGACGGCAGAAAAACUUUUCGCUGGACACCACAGAUAAAAAUUGAAAUGGCACAUUAUGUCGUCGACAAUUACACCGCGUUUAAGAUGACCAAACGCACGGAAUUUCUUCGUCGUCUCCAAGAUGCUUUGGCCCUUAACUGCGAAGAAAGUCAAUUAAAAAAUGAUUUCUUAAAACGUACACAGAGACUAAAGAGAAGUUAACGGGUUUUGGGAUUGACCCUGAGAAAGACGAAACUCUGGACAAAAGUUCGGUCGUUUUCCUCCAAUUACAUCAAAUCAAAUUAUUUUCAAUUUUCAAUGCGAAGCCGAAAUAAAAAUACUGGAACUCAAAAUUCAAUUGGAAACUCUUAAAUCUAAAUCCUAAAUAUAUGACUUAUAAAAUUGUUUAUUGCUGCUGCAUAAAAUGAAUUAUUUGAGAUAA